GAUACUGAAGGUGUGCUAUUUUUCUUGUCAAUCAGGUCAUCAAAAGAAGCGGGCUCAGCUUCGGCAUGUUUUACAGAAGUCAAUUUAUUGUCCCUUGUAGCAUCAGCUUCAACUCUAGCCCUUGUAAUAACACUACCAUCAUUGCUUCUUUUUCCUAAGAUACCAAAAGUCUUGAGCGGAGGAUAAGGUCCAGAUCCAACGGCAAAUUUUCCACCAACUUUGGCAGGGAAA
rnacentral:misc_RNA from 1 species